rnacentral:rRNA from 1 species
UACGAGGGGGGCAAAUGUUGUUCGGAAUCACUGGGCGUAAAGGGAGCGUAGGCGGGCUUCUAAGUUAGGUGUUUAAUCCCAGGGCCCAACCCUGGUCAGGCACCUAAAACUGGGAGUCUUGAAUAGUGGAGAGGACGAUGGAAUUGGGGGCGUAGCGGUGGAAUGCGUAGAGAUCCCCAAGAACACCAGUUGCGAAGGCGGUCGUCUGGACACAUAUUGACGCUGAGGCUCGAAAGCAUGGGGAGCAAACAGG